rnacentral:rRNA from 1 species
UACGUAGGUGGCAAGCGUUGUCCGGAUUUACGGGGCGUAAAGAGCGCGCAGGCGGUCGUGCAAGUCGCGUGUGAAAGCCCCCGGCUCAACUGGGGAGGGUCACGCGAUACUGCUCGACUCGAAGGCAGGAGAGGGAAGUGGAAUUCCCGGUGUAGUGGUGAAAUGCGUAGAUAUCGGGAGGAACACCAGUGGCGAAGGCGACUUCCUGGCCUGUUCUUGACGCUGAGGCGCGAAAGCUAGGGUAGCAGACGGG